UAUUAAACGAGCUGAAAAAUCCAGCUCGUGUUCGGCUCGUUUACUAAACGAGCGAGCCAAUCUCGAGCUUAUUUCGAGCCGAACAAGAGCUGGCUCGCGAACAACGAGCUGGAUUGCCACCCCUAGUGACGGUUGCGAUGACGGCGGUGACGACAACGACGUCUUGGGCGGUUACAAAAAUAAAACUUUUCAUUUAGUUAAUAUUUCCUCUUAACUUUAUUUUUAAACUUUAUUUAUGGUGGAGGCUCGAAUCUUUUUCUAUUUAAGUAGGUGUUGGUAUUAUUUAUUUUUCGAUAUGAAUUUUUUUUUCUUUCAACCUGUCAAAUAAAAGUUUUUUUUUGUGGGGAUAUUCUAAACUGGUUUCGGCAGCGACAGUGGUAGACAUGCGGUUGCGGUGACGGAUUGGGCAAUCACAAAAAAAAUCUUUCAUUUAGCAAUUUGUUUAUAUGAAAUUGGAUCGUGUGACUACAUUAAUUGGGAGGUAAGCGGGUGGGAAGAUGAAGUAUCGUGUAGAAAUGGGGUGAGAAGAUGAAUCAUCAAAAAGUAAGAAGAUCGAAGAAGGUAAGGAUGAAGGAGGGACUGCCACGUGGCAACUUCAUGGGAAAUAAUAUAUAGGUAUAGAAGAUGUUAAUUAUAAAUCCUCUAUAAUGAAAUUUAAAAGUGUAAUAGGUACUCCAAUCAUCAAGUGCAUGUAAUAACUACGCCAGUUACAUUAUAAAAAGGGAAAACUUUAAAUACCACAACACUUUCUCUUUUUACUA